ensembl:lncRNA
UACUUGAGUCAAACAUUUGUUACUCAAAUCUAAUCUAGUAAUCUCAUGUUUACAGAUGCUGAUAGUUAUCCAGAUGACAUGAUCGACAUCCAGAUGACUUGAUCGACUCCAAGAAUGGUGCUCAUCGUGUACCAUCCAUCCCCGGAUCGUUGAUGGAUCGGAAGUGGCAGAUGCCUCCCUGAAGUGCAGUCUCCCAAUAAACUAGAAAGCCUCGGGAUGUGCUUCGCAUUGCUUAUCGCAAGGCGAUGGGACUACUUGACUGGAGAGAUGCAGUUUACUUCUGAGCAUGAGGCGGUAGCGGUCAACUUGACUGGAGAGAUGCAGUUUACUCCUGAGCAUGAGGCGGUAGCGGUCAACUUGGUGGCUUGGUCUACUGCCGGUUCCAGAAAGCCUCCAUGGAGAAGAUGACUUGUAUCCUGCCCUUGAAAGCACCUCUAGAAAUAGUAAAAGGAUUUUGAGGAAGCGAAGGCCAUGUCAAAGGUGGAUGCCAAAUCGGAUUCAUUGGUUGAUUCUACUGGUGACUCAAGUCAACGCAGUGUUUCCCCGUAGACCAAUGUUUGGCGCAGCAGUGAAGUGCGGUUAUAGUUUAUACAUUACGAUGUUGGCCCCCCCAGGCCGUGAAUAGUGGAUCCAUUUGUCAAAAAGUUGAAAAAUGUUAAACUUUUUCGGCACCGACGGAUCCGUCAUCCAAUCAGAUCGCGUGUGCAAUGUCUCGGGCUCUUACGACCCCGGAAAGCUCCCCCAUCGCUCGACGUCCUUUGACUGACGGCGCAGUGGGCGUGAGGCGUUACCCCGCCACACAUUGUUACCUGGUCUGUGGGAAACGCUACAAAGAUUCAACAUGAAGUUGUGUUUAAUGUCAAUCCAUGGAUGGUACACUUCAUUGUUGGUGUUAGCAGCUGUUGUAUAUUUUAUGUGACUGUCAAUAAAAAAACUUUGAAGUGUCUUCUGCUUUUGCUUAUUAUCGUGUAUGGAAUGAUUGUAGCUGCUCAAAGGAUCAUUUUAGUUUACUUAAGGGCUGGGCUUUGCAACCAUUGCCUCGUAGUGCUAUAUGACGGCCUUUUUUUUAUAUCAGUUUUCAUGAUUAGAAGUCUGCCCUGUCGAUUCGACGGCAGCUCCAAGUGCGCGCCGGUUGUCUCACCGCAACGACAUGGCAUAAAUAAAAGGGAGUAUUAAACAUUUUCACAGUACUGUUGUACACCUGAGCGCAAAUUAUCU